UACGUAGGUGGCAAGCGUUGUCCGGAAUUACUGGGCGUAAAGAGUGCGUAGGCGGAUGAUUAAGUGAGAUGUGAAAUACCCGAGCUCAACUUGGGUGCUGCAUUUCAAACUGGUCGUCUAGAGUGCAGGAGAGGAAAGUGGAAUUCCUAGUGUAGCGGUGAAAUGCGUAGAGAUUAGGAAGAACACCAGUGGCGAAGGCGACUUUCUGGACUGUAACUGACGCUGAGGCACGAAAGCGUGGGGAGCGAACAGGAUUAGAUACCCCUGUA
rnacentral:rRNA from 1 species